GAAUGAGCAGAUCAACAGAAUGCCGCUGGUGCGCUGGAGCUUUUGUGUGUGCCCACGUGCCAGUGUAAACACGAGCAGCAUUUCCUUCACCCCGCCGGUGCUCAUUAUAUGAAGCCAUUUCCGCAGCAUGGUAUCCCACAAUACUGAGGAAAAGAGCCCUGAAGAAAUACAAUAGGAUGAAAAUGAAUAAUGUGAUUGAGAAAACAACUCUCUCCUCCCAUUUAGAAAUGCCAAUCAGAAUCACAGCAGGUGGGGCAUCCUUUGAAUUAUCCAAUCAGAGACCUCGAAGUUUGAUAAAAUCGUAACUCUUUAAAGAGAAGACUGAUGUGGAUUAAGUCUACUUGUGGUUGGGUGUGAGCACUAAGAGCAAAGCCAGAUCUGUGUUUGAAAGUGGUGAGCACUAAAAAUAGUC